UACGGGGGGUGCGAGCGUUGUCCGGAAUCACUGGGCGUAAAGGGCGCGUAGGUGGUUUGAUAAGGGUGUGGUGAAAGCCCGGGGCUCAACCCCGGGUCUGCCGUGCCGACUGUCAAACUCGAGGGCUGUAGAGGCAGACGGAAUUCCGGGUGUAGCGGUGGAAUGCGUAGAGAUCCGGAGGAAGACCGGUGGCGAAGGCGGUCUGCUGGGCAGUUUCUGACACUGAUGCGCGACAGCGUGGGGAGCAAACGGG
rnacentral:rRNA from 1 species